GACGAACGCUGGCGGCGUGCUUAACACAUGCAAGUCGAACGGUGAACUCCGCUUGCGGGGGGAUCAGUGGCGAACGGGUGAGUAACACGUGGGCAACCUGCCCUCAGCUCUGGGAUAACUCCAAGAAAUUGGGGCUAAUACCGGAUAUGACCGCUGACCGCAUGGUCUGGGGGUGGAAAGAUUUAUCGGCUGGGGAUGGACCCGCGGCCUAUCAGCUUGUUGGUGGGGUAGUGGCCUACCAAGGCGGCGACGGGUAGCCGGCCUGAGAGGGUGACCGGCCACACUGGGACUGAGACACGGCCCAGACUCCUACGGGAGGCAGCAGUGGGGAAUAUUGCGCAAUGGGCGAAAGCCUGACGCAGCGACGCCGCGUGGGGGAUGACGGCCUUCGGGUUGUAAACCUCUUUCAGCAGGGACGAAGCGAAAGUGACGGUACCUGCAGAAGAAGCACCGGCCAACUACGUG
rnacentral:rRNA from 1 species